CAGUUGGUUCAGUUCAGUUCGUGUUCCGGGAACGAAAUUCCCUUUUGGUCCGAUGAUCCGCGUCCGCGUUCCGCGUACAACAUUGAGGAAUUUUCAGGAUGCAACUUGAAGGAGCCGUUAGCCGUUACCUCGUUGUUACAGCCAGAGACGAUGUCGGUCUAUUUUUCCAGUCUCUCUUCAAAUGCAGCCUCAAAAAUAAAUGUUUUUGAAGGGCUUCCUGCACUCCAGCUUGCUCCCUCUUUCUGGAUUUCUUACAUUCUGGAUUAAGAAAGCGGCUACUAUUCUAUGACAUGGCUGUCAGUUUCUCAUCUGAGCAGCCAUCCGAUAGGAAAUUAGCAGCGACUAAAAAUCAUCUGGUUUUGAGAAAUUCACCAUGAAUUGCCUCAAAGCAACAUCAUCAAAAGCAGUUGAAGUGUGUUCAGAGAA